rnacentral:misc_RNA from 1 species
GAUGAAGAACGUAGCGAAAUGCGAUAAGUAAUGUGAAUUGCAGAAUUCAGUGAAUCAUCGAAUCUUUGAACGCACCUUGCGCCCUUUGGCUAUUCCGAAGGGCAUGCCUGUUUGAGUAUCAUGAACAUCUCAACUCCUCACGGUUCGCCCGUGACGAGCUUGGACUUUGGGGGUCUUGCCGGCCUGCGGGUCGGCUCCUCUCAAAUGAAUCAGCUUGCCGGUGUUUGGUGGCGUCACAGGUGUGAUAAAUAUCUACGCUUGUGGUUUUCCGCCAGGUAACCUCCAGCGAUGGGGGUUCACUGGAGCUCACGAAUGUCUCUCCUCGGUGAGAACAGCUCUUUGAACGUUUGAUCUCAAAUCAGGUAGGGCUACCCGCUGAACUUAAGCAUAUCAAUAAGCGGAGGA